ACAGGGAUUGCCUCAGUAGCGGCGAGUGAAGCGGCAAGAGCUCAGAUUUGAAAUCGCAGCGGCAACGCAGCGAGUUGUAGAUUGCAGGUGGGAGAGUUUGCGGGCGGCGGGCGUCGAAGUCCCUUGGAACAGGGCGCCACUGAGGGUGAGAGCCCCGUGCGAUGCCUGCCCAUGCUUUGAACUCCCCUCUGACGAGUCGAGUUGUUUGGGAAUGCAGCUCUAAGCGGGUGGUAAAUUCCAUCUAAGGCUAAAUACUGGCGAGAGACCGAUAGCGAACAAGUACUGUGAAGGAAAGAUGAAAAGCACUUUGAAAAGAGAGUGAAACAGCACGUGAAAUUGUUGAAAGGGAAGGGUAUUGGGCCCGACAUGGGAAUCGCGCACCGCUGCUCCUCGUGGGCGGCGCUCUGCGCUUUUCCUGGGCCAGCAUCGGUUUCCGCUGCAGGAGAAGGGGCUGUGGAAUGUGGCUGGCACGCUUGCGCGCCAGUGUUAUAGCCACGGGCCAGAUGCUGCGUGUGGGGACCGAGGGCUGCGACGGCAACGUCUCGGAUGCUGGCAC
rnacentral:rRNA from 1 species